rnacentral:rRNA from 1 species
UGCAAGUCGAGCGGUAGCACAGAGAGCUUGCUCUCGGGUGACGAGCGGCGGACGGGUGAGUAAUGUCUGGGAAACUGCCUGAUGGAGGGGGAUAACUACUGGAAACGGUAGCUAAUACCGCAUAAUGUCGCAAGACCAAAGUGGGGGACCUUCGGGCCUCAUGCCAUCAGAUGUGCCCAGAUGGGAUUAGCUAGUAGGUGGGGUAACGGCUCACCUAGGCGACGAUCCCUAGCUGGUCUGAGAGGAUGACCAGCCACACUGGAACUGAGACACGGUCCAGACUCCUACGGGAGGCAGCAGUGGGGAAUAUUGCACAAUGGGCGCAAGCCUGAUGCAGCCAUGCCGCGUGUGUGAAGAAGGCCUUCGGGUUGUAAAGCACUUUCAGCGGGGAGGAAGGCGAUAAGGUUAAUAACCUUGUCGAUUGACGUUACCCGCAGAAGAAGCACCGGCUAACUCCGUGCCAGCAGCCGCGGUAAUACGGAGGGUGCAAGCGUUAAUCGGAAUUACUGGGCGUAAAGCGCACGCACGCGGUCUGUCAAGUCGGAUGUGAAAUCCCCGGGCUCAACCUGGGAACUGCAUUCGAAACUGGCAGCUAGAGUCUUGUAGAGGGGGUAGAA